rnacentral:rRNA from 1 species
UACGUAGGGGGCUAGCGUUGUCCGGAUUUAUUGGGCGUAAAGAGCGUGUAGGCGGCCAGGUAGGUCCGUUGUGAAAACUCGAGGCUCAACCUCGAGAUGUCGGCGGAAACCAUCUGGCUAGAGUCCGGAAGAGGAGAGUGGAAUUCCUGGUGUAGCGGUGAAAUGCGCAGAUAUCAGGAAGAACACCCGUGGCGAAGGCGGCUCUCUGGGACGGUACUGACGCUGAGACGCGAAAGCGUGGGGAGCGAACAGG